UAAAGGACAUGUCAGUUACAUACUGGCUGGGCUGUAGUGGGGGUUGGUAAGGGGAGAACGGUUAGGGUCAGAGGUUAGGGUUAGGUUAACGUACAUAGCGGCUGAGCUGUAGUGGGACUGGGCAGGGGAGAACGGUUAGGGUCAGAGGUUAGGUUAACUUACAUAGCGGCUGGGCUGUAGUGGGACUGGGCAGGGGAGAACGGUUAGGGUCAGAGGUUAGGUUAACUUACAUAGCGGCUGGGCUGUAGUGGGACUGGGCAGGGGAGAACGGUUAGGGUCAGAGGUUAGGUUAACUUACAUAGCGGCUGGGCUGUAGUGGGACUGGGCAGGGGAGAACGGUUAGGGUCAGAGGUUAGGUUAACUUACAUAGCGGCUGGGCUGUAGUGGGACUGGGCAGGGGAGAACGGUUAGGGUCAGAGGUUAGGUUAACUUACAUAGCGGCUGGGCUGUAGUGGGACUGGGCAGGGGAGAACGGUUAGGGUCAGAGGUUAGGUUAACUUACAUAGCGGCUGGGCUGUAGUGGGACUGGGCAGGGGAGAACGGUUAGGGUCAGAGGUUAGGUUAACUUACAUAGCGGCUGGGCUGUAGUGGGACUGGGCAGGGGAGAACGGUUAGGGUCAGAGGUUAGGGUUAA